ensembl:snRNA U6 U6 spliceosomal RNA
GUGCUCACUUCAGCAGCACAUAGACUCAAAUUAGAACCAUACAGAUACUAGCAUGGCCCCAGUGCAAGGAUGACAUGCAAAUUCAUGAAGUGUUCCAUAAAAAC